rnacentral:rRNA from 1 species
GACGAACGCUGGCGGCGUGCUUAACACAUGCAAGUCGAACGGGAUAAUUUGAGAGCUUGCUCUUAGAGAAUCUAGUGGCAAACGGGUGAGUAACACGUAGACAACCUGCCGACAGGAUGGGGACAACAUUCCGAAAGGAAUGCUAAUACCGAAUGAAGCGGAGGAGAGGCAUCUCUCCUCCGUGAAAGAUGGCCUCUGAAUAUGCUAUCACCUGUCGAUGGGUCUGCGUCUGAUUAGCUAGUUGGUGAGGUAACGGCUCACCAAGGCGACGAUCAGUAGCCGGUCUGAGAGGAUGAACGGCCACAUUGGGACUGAGACACGGCCCAGACUCCUACGGGAGGCAGCAGUGGGGAAUCUUCCGCAAUGGGCGCAAGCCUGACGGAGCAACGCCGCGUGAGUGAAGAAGGGCUUCGGAUCGUAAAGCUCUGUUGACGGGGACGAACGUGCGAAGGGUGAAUAAUCCUUUGUAAUGACGGUACCUGUCGAGGAAGCCACGGCUAACUACGUG